rnacentral:misc_RNA from 1 species
UGGAGUAUUCAACUGACAAGGUGGUGAUGAGUUGAGGUGUCUAGAUGUGCAUUGUCAAAUUUGGAGUGUUUACUUUCCAGUUGAGGCCAAGUUUGAGUGCAGUUAUAUAUUAUGUCAAUGAAAAACUGAGAUGAAAAUAUUAAAGUUGCAGCCAUCAAUCUCUUUUCCAAUGCUUACUUCUACUGGUUUUAGUGUAGAAUCUA